UUUUCUUGGUCCUCCUUCCAGGUCUCUUCUCUGGGAAAGGCGUCGUGGCGCGCCAGAACUUAGUUAUGCUGGCUGCGGCGCAAAUGGCUGCUGGACGCCUGUGUGUCUUCAC
rfam:Felis catus cont1.240620, whole genome shotgun sequence.